rnacentral:ncRNA from 1 species
GCGCAGCUGUUUAGUGUCUGUAGAAUUAUGCUGUAAAGCACAGAAAUGCCGAGGCAUGGACGCCGAGGCAAGGAGAAAUCGAGCCAUGGAUGGCGAGUUUCGACGGUUUCGUCGAGCAUAGAAAACCCGGGGCAUAAUUCGUACAGACACUCGACAGCGAAGC